rnacentral:rRNA from 1 species
UACGUAGGGGGCAAGCGUUGUCCGGAAUCAUUGGGCGUAAGGAGCGCGUAGGCGGUCCGGUAAGUCCGCUCUGAAAGUCCGGGGCUCAACCCCGGGAGGCGGGCGGAUACUGUCGGGCUAGAGUCCGGAAGAGGCGAGUGGAAUUCCUGGUGUAGCGGUGAAAUGCGCAGAUAUCCGGAGGAACACCGGUGGCGAAGGCGGCUUCCUGGACCGACACUGACGCUGAGGCGCGAAAGCUAGGGGAGCAAACGGG